rnacentral:rRNA from 1 species
AGAUUGAACGCUGGCGGCAUGCCUUACACAUGCAAGUCGAACGGUAGAGUAGCAAUACUUGAGAGUGGCGAACGGGUGAGUAAUAUAUCGGAACGUGCCCAGUCGUGGGGAUAACGUAGAGAAAUUUACGCUAAUACCGCAUACGAUCUAAGGAUGAAAGCGGGGGACCUAAGGCCUCGCGCGAUUGGAGCGGCUGAUAUCAGA